GCCUAAUACAUGCAAGUCGAGCGGACUUGAUGGAGUGCUUGCACUCCUGAUGGUUAGCGGCGGACGGGUGAGUAACACGUAGGCAACCUGCCCUCAAGACUGGGAUAACUACCGGAAACGGUAGCUAAUACCGGAUAAUUUAUUACAUAGCAUUAUGUGAUAAUGAAAGACGGAGCAAUCUGUCACUUGGGGAUGGGCCUGCGGCGCAUUAGCUAGUUGGUGGGGUAACGGCCCACCAAGGCGACGAUGCGUAGCCGACCUGAGAGGGUGAACGGCCACACUGGGACUGAGACACGGCCCAGACUCCUACGGGAGGCAGCAGUAGGGAAUCUUCCGCAAUGGGCGAAAGCCUGACGGAGCAACGCCGCGUGAGUGAUGAAGGUUUUCGGAUCGUAAAGCUCUGUUGCCAAGGAAGAACGUCUCAUAGAGUAACUGCUAUGAGAGUGACGGUACUUGAGAAGAAAGCCCCGGCUAACUACGUGCCAGCCGCCGCGGUAAUUCGUCGUGACU
rnacentral:rRNA from 1 species